rnacentral:misc_RNA from 1 species
GAAAUGCGAUAAGUAAUGUGAAUUGCAGAAUUCCGUGAAUCAUCGAAUCUUUGAACGCACAUUGCGCCCUCUGGCAUUCCGGGGGGGAUGCCUGUCCGAGCGUCAUUACGCACCCUCAAGCCCGGCUUGUGUGAUGGGCCCCGGCGUCUCGUUCGCGAGACGGGCCCGAAAGGCAGCGGCGGCGUCGACCCGAUGAGCCCGAGCGUAUGGGGACUUCUGUCACACGUUCGCGGUGCGGACCGGCGCCUGCUUGACUUUUCUGAUUAUCCAGGUUGACCUCGGAUCAGGUAGGGAUACCCGCUGAACUUACGC